UUUUUUUUUUUUUUUUUUUUUGCAUGGGGGAUAGGCUGGUCUUCUUUGUUUGGAUGUGAGAGCAGUGGGGAAUAAGAGAGACAUAUGCACAUCAAAGGUGUGAUUUCUAGCCCUCUGGCAACUCUUUCAUUUUUGGAAAUAUGAUCGACCAAGUAGUUCUCCUGAAACUCUCUCAUUACCAAACCCAAAUUCUGGAGAAAAUAUUUCUUAGAAACCUUGAAAUUCAAAGAUUCAAAGAUGGAAUUGUAAGAAAGCAAGGACAUGCUUCUGAGGGCAGGAAAAAUCUGGGCACGUGAAUUCAGGAAGGUAAGUCCCCACUCUCCGCGGGGCACCUAUUGCUCAGAGAAGCCCGGGGCUUCCGCAGUAAUGGCUGCAUGCAAAUCGGCACAGAAGAUAAAGCCUUAGACCUUUGCAGGCUGCGGAGUCAGAUCAGUGAACCCAGCAUACAUCAGGGGCACGUCACACCCUCAAGAAGAGGACGAACUCAGACCACCCCUGAAAGGUCCUAGUCUUGGCUCUGGGUGAGACGGAGCAUUGUCUAAGGACUCAUAGCUGACUCUGGUCUUACGUGGGCUUGUGCUGGAUUCAUAGUAUUUAUGUGGCCCCCAAAUCCAUCAUUUCAUUUGAGAAUUCUACUUAAAGGUGAAGCAGGUUAGGUAGUAGCCCAAGGAACCUUGCAGUUGGAAGUUGUUCCCUCACAACAAAUCAUCUCAUUCUAGCCCUCAAAGAAGGUCCCCGAGAGGGUUUGCGCAAACGUGCUCACAGUGAAAAAUAAAACACCCAAGGUCACUAGGCGCCGUGACAGAGAGUCAGCAGAACAAGCCAUGCCCUAAAAUUUUACAAUCUAAGAUACGCAUAUUUAAUGUGCUUAAAGAAAUACAAUAAGGGGUACACAUUCCAAGUGGGAAGCAAGAGACUACCCAAAAUAAUAGAGCUGUUUUAAGACUUCCCUUGUGGCACAGUAGCUUAAGGAUCUGGCAUUGUCACUCCAGUGGUUCAAGUCAUUGCUGUGGCAUGGAUUCAAUCUCUGGCCCAGGAACUUAGUGGUCACACCAAUUUACAUUCCCACCAACAGUGUAGGAACUACCACAUAAUUCAGCAAUCCCACACCUGGCCAUAUAUACAGAGAAAAACAUAAUUUGAAAAGAUAUACACACCCCAGUGGUCACUGCAGCACCAUUUACAAUAGCCAUACAUGGAAGCACCUUAAAUGUCCAUUGAUAGAUGAACGGAUAAAGAAGAUGUGGUACAUGUAUACAGUGGAAUACUACUCAGCCAACAAAAAGAAUGAAAUAAUGCCAUCUGCAGCAACAUGGAUGGACCUAGCAAUUGCCAUACUGAAUGAAGUCAGUCAGACCAAGAGAGACAAAUAUCACAGGAAAUUAUUAAUAUGUGGAAUCUCAUGAAAGUGAUACAAAAGAACUUAUUGCCAAAACAAACUCAGAGAUUUCAAAACAAAACUUAUGGGUAGCAGAGGGGAAAUGUUGUGUGGGGGGGGAAUAAAUUAGGAGUUUGGGAUUAACACAGAGACUACUUCCUAUUUACAAAAUAGACAACUAAAAAGGACUUACUGUCUAGCAUGGGGAAAUCUACUCAGUAUGGUGUAAAAACCUAUAUGGGAAAAGAAUCUGAGAGGAAAUGAAUAUAUGCUCAUGCAUAACGGAUUUAAUUAUUGUAAACCUGAAACUUACACAGCAUCGUAAAUCAACCAUAUUCCAUUACAUGUUUUUUUUUAAUGUCCAAAAAAAAAAAAAAGUAGUGACUGUGUUGCAGGAGCUCUCCCACAGGGCGGCAAUAGCGACACCUCAAGGGGAAGAGAGGAAAGAUGCAUGGGACAUGGGACAGCUGAGAUGAACCAGUGGCCGGUUGCUCCUGAGUAGGGAUGGCGGUCACACAAGCACAUAAAGGCUGCUACGACUUCGGAGAGGAGACGUCGCCUCUGAGCGCAGAGAGAAAACAAAAAUAAGACGGCGGAAGGGAAUACUAACGUCUCAGGACCCACAGCUCUCGUAAACAGGCUCGGAACUUGAGUUUAAAAGGAAAAUUCAGUCUCCCGGGUUCUUGCCCGCGACCUGCCCGCCGGACCCUCUGGAUCACCAUGACAACCAGAAAACGCCUCCUCCCCAUCAGCAGGCCCUGGAACGGACCCCCGCACCCACGGAAACUAGCAUCCCAACUGACCACACUUGGUAGAGGUGAACUUGCACUGACCUCCACGGAAUCCUGCCUCUGGAAGCCAGGCUAAGGCUGCCUUCUGGAAAAAAAUAAAUACAAAGACUUGUUUCAUUCACUGGGCUGAAAGAGGGUGCAACAUAAGAUCGUCUUGCUUCUGUGUCCAGACUAUGGCUCCCCGGGCUUGUUCGGAACACUGGAAGAAGGGCCUCUGUCUCUCCCUGCCACGGAUCCGUGCACGUCGUCGACUCGGAGCUGACCUGUGUCACCUGGAGGAUGCUGCCGAAAGUAACGAUGCGUCACCUCCGAGGUCCCGUCGUGGAAGACCUCAAAGAACAGGGACCCUGGGAGUUUGGGGAAAGGAAACUCUCCAAAGGCAUCUGAAAGAAGGAGAAAACACAGGAAGUACUGGCGAAAAGAUGUGAGACCCUCCUGUAAACGUUCCUGAGUCACAUGCAGGCGGCAUCCCCUUUUUUCCUUCCCUGGAGCAGAAGGUUCACAACACAAUUGAGACAGUGCUAUAGAGAUCUUUCCAGAUACCUCCUUCUCCUGUCUGCUUCAAGCAACAUCCGCCACCAGAGUGGUAUACAUUGCUCCUUCUCAAUUGUCCAUCUCAGGAUGGAAGAGGCCCCAAGAAUGGGGGUUCUUACCUUCCUGAUGUUUUGGCUCCGUCUGGUUGUGAAGCCUAUAAAAAUGAAUAAGAUGCAACCCCAGCUCUCCCUGAAAGCCUCUUCUGUCUGCUCAUCACAGCCCUGCCUCCAGGCCCCUCUUGCACCUGGUAAAUCCUCCUGGGAACCUGCCUGUUUGUGCUCUAGCAGCUGCCUGAAGAAUCACCUCCUCCAGGAAGCCUUCCUCUCUUAGUCAUGUGUGAACCCUGGCCUUCGCCCCUGCUGGGACUUGUCCAAUCUGGAAACUCCUAUUCAUUCCUUGAAUUGCUCCUCUCCGGACUACCCCAGACUUCAUCAGCUCCCAUCACCAGUUAGAGAAAUGAGGUGUCCCUUAUCUGCAAGAGCUCAGGCUUUGUCGCAAUCGGACCAUCAGAAUAAGGUCAUUAAAAAAAAAAAAAAAAAAAAAAAAAAAAAAAACUCAGGUGUGGAGACAAACCAUUUGCAGCCACAGAGGCGAAGAGCUGCUCGGGUAUAAAUGAGGCCAGAUUCAGUUCAGAUUCAUGGACAUUUUUUUAUGCUGCAGGAUUUUUUUCAAAAUCUUUUUUUUCCCCUUGCACGGGCAUUCCAAGGCAGCAGGGAUGAGGGGAGGAGGCGGAAAACACAGGAAAUGUAAAGGAUUCUGGAAAUUGAGCUGCAUGGGGAAGGCAAGGAGCUUCCCUGUAUCAAAGUAGAACGUGGUAACUGGAAGUUCCAUUAAAUGGACCACCUGCAGAAAAAGGGGGACCGAGGAAAAACACGCCGUUGGCACAAAGAGAAACCACACAUUUCUCAAAGCUGCCGUCAGUGGAUCGUUAAACCUACAGCGCCGCUAGUUUCGGGUCUGGAGUUUUUGGCCGUGGUGGCGGGAAGAAGGCCAAGGCCCACGCGCCUGGACUGAAGGCUCACUUUGCAAUUCCUGGCAGACCCCUCCACUCCCACGCGGAAGGCCUGGGGAGGGUUAAGGCAGAAAAGCACUUGUGUCAAAGCAAAGGAAACCGGUGGCACUUCCAGGGUAAGCGGCACACAUACGCGGGUUUACUUUCAGAGAGCCAAGAGCAAUUUCCACGCCAGUGAACAUAUUCUCAGGGAACCGGGCCCCUCCACUGGCCACAUCCAUCCGUGAAGGAAGAGGCUUUGUGCUCCUGCGCGUCCUGUACCUGCCUGUCUUGUAGUCACACUUGGGGGUGAAUCGUUCCCUUAUUUUACGAGGGAGGCAGUUGAGCCUCAGAGGGUAUAACUCGUUUUCCAAUUAAUUAUAAUUAAAAGUAAUCAUGCCGCA
rnacentral:lncRNA from 1 species